UACGAAGGGGGCUAGCGUUGUUCGGAAUUACUGGGCGUAAAGCGCACGUAGGCGGCUUUCUAAGUCGGGGGUGAAAUCCUGGAGCUCAACUCCGGAACUGCCUUCGAUACUGGAAAGCUCGAGUCCGGGAGAGGUGAGUGGAACUGCGAGUGUAGAGGUGAAAUUCGUAGAUAUUCGCAAGAACACCAGUGGCGAAGGCGGCUCACUGGCCCGGUACUGACGCUGAGGUGCGAAAGCGUGGGGAGCAAACAGG
rnacentral:rRNA from 1 species